rnacentral:rRNA from 1 species
AGAGUUUGAUCAUGGCUCAGGAUGAACGCUGGCGGUAUGCUUAACACAUGCAAGUCGAACGAAGUCCUUCGGGGCUGAGUGGCGGACGGGUGAGUAACACGUGAGAAUCUACCCUCAGGUCGGGGACAACAGCGGGAAACUGCUGCUAAUACCGGAUAGGCCGCAAGGUGAAAGAUUUAUUGCCUGAGGAUGAGCUCGCGUCUGAUUAGCUAGUUGGUGGGGUAAUGGCCCACCAAGGCACCGAUCAGUAGCUGGUCUGAGAGGAUGAUCAGCCACACUGGGACUGAGACACGGCCCAGACUCCUACGGGAGGCAGCAGUGGGGAAUUUUCCGCAAUGGGCGCAAGCCUGACGGAGCAAUACCGCGUGGGGGAGGAAGGCUCUUGGGUCGUAAACCCCUUUUGUCAGGGAAGAAGCAAGUGACGGUACCUGACGAAUCAGCAUCGGCUAACUCCGUGCCAGCCGCCGCGGUAAUAC